GGAUCGUCGCAAGACGCACUAGAGCGAAAGCAUUUGCCAAGUAUGUCUUAAUUGAUCAAGAACGAAAGUUAGAGGUUCGAAGGCGAUCAGAUACCGCCCUAGUUCUAACCAUAAACGAUGCCAGCCAGCGAUCCGCCGACGUUCCUCCGAUGACUCGGCGGGGAGCUUCCCCCGGGAAACCAAAAGCUUUUGGGU
rnacentral:rRNA from 1 species